ACGUCGCCGGAGCCAGCAAUGGCGAGCCAGGUCACUAGCAAGUGGGUAACCGAAUUUUUCCGGGAGACAAAGAACUUUAAGGGAGAGCUGGCUUCAUGUUUCCCGAUUGCGAUGAGCCCACUGAAGUAAAAUGUUUAAGAGGUAAUUCUUCAAUUUUAGUUAGCAGCUAAUUACUUCACAUCACCCGUUAACCCAUGGUUGCCAUCGCUGACGGCAUGUCCCCGAUGAAACCGUUAUUAUGGCUGUUUUAAAAUUCUACCUAGAGUCUUCAUUUAAACACACGGUAUAACUAUUUCUGGCUUGUUUCUCUCUUCAGGAUCUGAAAAAUCCACGAAGUGGAGCUGGAAACGAGGACGGUGAGCUCCUGUGGCCUUUCUUUGACCUCAUGGAUUGUAUAAUGUCAGGGAGGGUGAUAACGCCACCUCGGCUUAUUGCAUCUGCAUCUGGAGACCAGGGCUAAGAAAAUGGGGAAGACACUGAUGAGCAGCCAACGGUGAAAAAACGCAGGUGUGAUGACACAACUCAGAAACAGAAAAAGGAAAAUGUCAUAGAUUGCAUCCUCACCAAUGUUUUCUGAAAAAACAGACGGAAUUGAUGGGGGGUGCAUGUUCGAUUUUUUUUUAUAAACAGAGGUGGUCAGCAGUAACGUGCCGUAUGCAGAGUUAGGUUAACUUAAGUGACUGUUAGCUUCUGUAAUUUUCCCAACAAUGUUAUUUUUAAUUAUAAGCUAUUAUAUAGAACAAGAAAAAAUAUUAAUCUUCUUGCUCAUUGCACUUAGACAUUGUCUGAAAUCUCAGAUAUUGUAGGGAAAAAUUUUUAGGAAGGAUGCAAGGCAGGUAAUGCACCCUUAUGUUUGUUUGAUUUGAGAUGUCAGCUGCUUGAAUGCGUGCACCUUCUGAAAUUCUCAACAAAUUCAGAAUAUAGCUAUUUGUUUCGUUUCUAGCACACUGCAUACACUACUCAAAUGUCCAUAACCAGUUAGUUCGUUCGCAAGGAUGUUUCUCAUCCACUAAUUUUUUUGUAGCAGUGUUCAAUUAGCCCUGUCUACACUUGUGUUGCUAUUUAUGAAAUGAAAAACAGUACGUAUUCAAGCAGCUGACACCUCAAAUCAAACAGACAUUAGGGUACAUUAACUGCCUUGCAUCCUUCCUAGAAAUUUUUCCCCUACAAUAUCUGAGAUCUAACGUUUUUUGCAUAAGUGCUGCGGACACUUGGUCUUCUGCAUAUCAUGAACAUAUUUACAACUAGUGUAUUGUGGUGCUGGUCUGAACACAAUUUGGUGUAAUGGCAUGAGUUUAUAUAAUUAUUUUGUAUUGUUUAGCUUAGUUGUUUCAAUAAAGUAAAGGUAACUCAUGACAUUGUUAUGCUAACACAACAUAUGAUACAUGACAUGUCAGUUUUCAGGAUGGAUUGAAAUAAAGCCUUGUCAAUUGCAAGAA